rnacentral:lncRNA from 1 species
UCCCCACCGCCGUCCUUCCCGUCCCACGUCUGCCCCGCCCUCUUUAUCCCACCCCCGCCUCGUUUCCUCCUCUGCCCGCCCUCUCUCCGCACCUCGGGGUCCCAAAUCCCACCCCUGCCGCGCUUUCCGCCUGGGCCGGCGCUUCGUGGAAGUCACGUGGUGGCUCCGAAACCCCGGAGGAAAGGCGAAGCCCACCCACGCGAGGCGACUUCAGGGCGGCUGGGGGUCAGGGUGGCGCCACGCAGCCUUUGGGGUCCUUCGGCCGCUCCCUGGGAACUCAGGCUGAGAAACACAGUGGGUGUUUUGGGGUCCGUGUUUUCUUCCCCGGUCCCAUCGCUGCAUCUUCCUGCGCGUCAGCCACGCCCUGUGCCCGCCCCCCAGCGCAGGGGUCACCGUCCCGGGGGACUUUCUCCGCGGCGACCAGACAUCCGAGCGCCACUCUCGCUCCUCCCGCGGCCCCGGAGGCGCGGCCUUGGGGCGAGGAUAGCGGCUUCACCGAGUCCCACCGGGCACCCCGAGCCGCGGCCGCCCCAGGGACUCGCGGAUUUAUCCGCUCGUGCCAAAGGUGGGGACCGGGUUGAAGUAGGGCAAGUACUGGUCCACCUGCCUGCCCAUCAAAAUUGCGAAGCCAAGACACUUACACGUGGUCCUAGCAAAGGAAACGCUAGCGGCUACGGGCUGUGGUCUGCAUGCUGUGAGCACCUGGAAAGAAAGAUAACCGCGAGUCUGGAUGGGCGAGUGGGAACCAGACCGGAAAGGCAGAAGUGCCUACCGAGUGUGGUCGCUUGGGUCUUCAGGUUCGUGGGCAGCAGUGGACAUGGGGGACAGGCAUUUCCGAUUCCUUUUAAAAUCUCAAAUGAGUGCACCUGCCCGCCGCCGGGAUUUAGGACCCAUUCUUGCAAACGCUUUGAGAGAGGUUGAGUGAACUUGGCUGCCUUGCUGCCAGCAGGAAAGCGAGCAGAGAUUCUUGUCUUUGUGAUCAGAAGCUUCGGCCAACUGAGAGGAGGGGAGGAAGACAGAAGGUGGACACAGCCCAUGAGUCGCAGCGCCACACUCCACAUCAGCAAGGCUGCGCAGCAGAGCCAGCACUACGCUGGGUUAUCCGCUCAGAUUAAUCUCAUCUCCCUUUUAUUUCAGCACUCAGCUUAACGCGUGGUUGCCUCGGGACUAUUUUGCCUCCCACACAGCUACCCACGUAGGUGCCUAGCACAGCACUCUACAUACACACAGCAGGUGCUCAUUGCACUAGGUCAGCUGAGAGCCCUCAUUCUUGAAACACUAAAAGGACUCUAACGAGCUAGGAAAACCCCUGGGUCAAGGGAUUAUCAUUUUCAGAAGCGAUUUCAUUCCCCAGUGUUAUUGAUGCACGGAAAGGGCAAGGUAAAAACAUCUCGGGAACAUUCCUGUGCACUCCCACGCUUUAUUCUCGUCAUGCCCACUUUUCUCACUGAGCCACCUCACAUUUUAAGUCUUUUGGGGCUGCAUCCUCCCUGUCUCUCCCCAGGGAGCCUGGAACCAUGCCCCAGCACACAAGAACUCUUUUUAUAGGCAUAGUCUACUGCCUUGUGUUACCCAAGUGUUUCUUUAAAUAUAUUUUGUCUUGGUUAACUAGGUAGCAUUUAGGACAGAGGUCAAUUUGAUGUAAAUAUCAUACAUCAAACUGGAUUAAAUAGCUAGAUACGAAAAUGAAAAUCAGAGAGCUAAAGCAGAAUUAAAUUCUUAUUUUAGUCCUGGAAGCACCGGCAACAUAGUGAGACCCCUAUCUCUACCUAAAAUGGUAAGAAAUCAACUAGCUGAGUGUGGUGGUACACACCUGUAGUCCCAGUUACUCAGGAGGCUGUGGCAGGAGGAGUUUGAGGCUGGAGUGAGCUAUGAUUGCACCACUGCACUCCAGCCUGGGCAACAGAGCAAGUCCUUAUCUCAGAUAAACACAUAAAAUAAAAUAAAGUGGUGGAGCUAAGAUAAGGAGAUUUUAUAAGGCUACAUGUAAUAGGAGAAAUGGCCUUGAUAAGAUCUGAUCUACAUAAAAGGGCUAAAUUGUUUUAGAUGACAGUGUAGCCAGAAAUGCAAAACAGAUUGGAUAAAUACCCUGUGUAUGAGAAAGGGUUAAUAUACAGCCCAUGGAAAAGAAGAAAAAUACUGAGACAACUUGCAAAGGUAAAUUGCAGAAGUGACAUGAAAUGGUAUUUCCCAGCAGAAGAAAUAAUUAAGAAAAAUAUAUACAGGAAAAAUACAUAUUAAAAUAAGAAUCCUUUUUAAAUUAGCAACAUAAAAAGUAGUAAUAUCAAAAGCUGGUGAGAGUGUGGUGAAAUUAGUGCUCACUUGUUUCACUGGCUUCAUUGUAAAUUGGCACAAACUUGCUGGAAAGCAGUUUUACUGUCACUUUCAAGGCCAGAAAAAAGUCAUUACUUCUUACUCAAUUUCCCCACUAAUAGAAAAUUAUUCUAGGAUGAUCAUUGAAAAUACUAGAGAGAAAAAUACUAUAUGCACUAAACGUUCAUGAUAAUAUUUUAAGAGUGAAAAAUGUAAGCAACAUAAAUGUCUAAUUAUAGUUGAAUGGCUAAACAAAAUACGCUAUUGCCACAGGAUAGAAUGUUACGCAUCUUUAAAAUUACAAGCAUGCAGGCUGGGUGCAGUGGCCCGCGCCUGUUUUAACAGCUCCUCUAGAGGCUGAAGUGGGAGGAUCAUUCAAGCCCAGGAGUUCAAGGCUGCAGUGAGCCAUGAUUACACCACUGCUCUCCAGCCUGAGCAACAGGGUGCUACCCUGUCUCAAAAAAAAAAAAAAAAUACAAACAUGCAGACAAAUUUGCCACAUGGAAGGUUUAUUUGAUCUGAAGUAAAGUGAGAAAAAAUCAGGUUACAAAAAGUACAUAUAUGACAUGAACAGUAUGUAAAAACGUAUGCAUGUGAGAAGAGACUGGAAGGAAACCUACAGUGAUGGUAGCCUUUCUCUCAUAACGGUGGCAUUAUAAUUUCUGUACUUGUUGAAAAAUUGUUUUUAUUAUGUUAGCAUCUUAAAACAUUUCAUAUGUAUAAGUGAUAUAAAUAUAUUUAUCUGAUCCCUUUCCCUGGCACUAAGCUCAUUGGCCACAUCAGAAUGGCCAGCACUUCUCUGAUCAAAGGGUUUGCUCUAAUAACAGACAUUUUCCUUGCUUUUGUGUAAUGUUCUCUGGUUUAUUUUACUCUCUUAAGUCAGGAGAAAGAAAAAUCAC